rnacentral:lncRNA from 1 species
UUGUUUAUGGGUGUGUAGCGUGCCAUAAUUAUAAGUAAGAGUCUAUAAAGUGUUUAGGAAUGUCUUUUUUUUUUCAUGUUCUAGUUCGUGCUAUAGAGUCAGAAUGUUCCUCUUUCAUACUCUAAUUCAUUCUAUGGUGUCGCCCAUAUGAAAAUAAAGUCAUCUUAAUUCUUUUCUUGCUUUGAUGUGCUUAGAUAUGUUGUGAUUCAAGUGCAGAAGUUUA